rnacentral:lncRNA from 1 species
CUACAGAUACUAUAUAUAAUAUAUUUAUAUAUCUAUAUAGCAUAUACACAUAAAACAGACACUUGAAAUAUACAUGUGUAUCUAAUGAGUACAUCCAAGCAGUAUAUACAUCAAAAUAACAAGGGAUGACAAAUACAAAAAAUGCAGCUUGUGUAAGUUGGAGGAAAUGUAAAAAACGUAUUUCAAACCAUUAGAUACACAUUAAAUUCUCAAGAAAGAAAAAAGUCAGGGAGCUAGUCAAGAGAUGGUGGACAUAUACUGAAGAAAUGUGGACCAAUUAUUUAUAUGAAAAAAGUUAGGGCAAUAGAUAACUUUGAUUGUCUACCAUUGAAAGAGACCUAUUAACUUCAUGUGGUUUUGGAUUAAGUUUAGAUGGUGGGGGGAAAAAAAUAAAGAGGAUCAAUCAAUUGGAAAUCUCUCAUGUCAGAAAAUGGUGUGAUCUCAGUGUCACUCCAAAAAGUAGUGUGCAACAACACACUGGCAUUGUAGACUUACUUCCACUUAAGUAUCUUUAGCAACCUGUUUACACUGAAACAUAGAUGCUACUGCUCAAAAUAGAGGAAUUAACAUUGUCAUAUUUUGAUACAAAAUAUAUUAUUUUCUAAUUCUUCAGGGUAAUGUAGGUCCCAUCGGUCCUCCUGGUCCUGCCGGCCCACCUGGAGAUAAGGGAGAGACUGGUCCAGCAGGUGCCCCAGGUCCAAUGGGUUCCCGUGGUGGUCCUGGUGAACGAGGAGAACAAGGUCUUCCUGGACCUGCUGGCUUCCCUGGAGCUCCAGUAAGUAUAAAUACUUAAAAGCAAUUGAAUGUGAUUAUCAGUUUUUAGAUUCUCUAAGUUCAUCCA